GGGCAAGUCUUGCACGACCAGCUCCCACCCCAAUUCCCCAGGCCGGGAACGGAGCAAGGACGGGUGGUUGUAGCGGUGCGAUGCAAUCAGCUUGCCCUAU
rnacentral:SRP_RNA from 1 species